rnacentral:rRNA from 1 species
UACAGAGGUCUCAAGCGUUGUUCGGAUUCAUUGGGCGUAAAGGGAGCGUAGGUGGCGGGGUUAGUCAGGUGUGAAAAUCUCGGGGCUCAACCCCGAAACUGCACUUGAUACUGCCUUGCUCGAGUACUGGAGAGGAGAUUGGAAUUUACGGUGUAGCAGUGAAAUGCGUAGAUAUCGUAAGGAAGACCAGUGGCGAAGGCGAAUCUCUGGACAGUUACUGACACUGAGGCUCGAAGGCCAGGGGAGCAAACGG